AAUCUGCCUGGUAGUGGGGGAUAACGCUCGGAAACGGACGCUAAUACCGCAUACGUCCUACGGGAGAAAGCAGGGGACCUUCGGGCCUUGCGCUAUCAGAUGAGCCUAGGUCGGAUUAGCUAGUUGGUGAGGUAAUGGCUCACCAAGGCGACGAUCCGUAACUGGUCUGAGAGGAUGAUCAGUCACACUGGAACUGAGACACGGUCCAGACUCCUACGGGAGGCAGCAGUGGGGAAUAUUGGACAAUGGGCGAAAGCCUGAUCCAGCCAUGCCGCGUGUGUGAAGAAGGUCUUCGGAUUGUAAAGCACUUUAAGUUGGGAGGAAGGGCAGUUACCUAAUACGUAUCUGUUUUGACGUUACCGACAGAAUAAGCACCGGCUAACUCUGUGCCAGCAGCCGCGGUAAUACAGAGGGUGCAAGCGUUAAUCGGAAUUACUGGGCGUAAAGCGCGCGUAGGUGGUUUGUUAAGUUGGAUGUGAAAUCCCCGGGCUCAACCUGGGAACUGCAUUCAAAACUGACAAGCUAGAGUAUGGUAGAGGGUGGUGGAAUUUCCUGUGUAGCGGUGAAAUGCGUAGAUAUAGGAAGGAACACCAGUGGCGAAGGCGACCACCUGGACUGAUACUGACACUGAGGUGCGAAAGC
rnacentral:rRNA from 1 species